rnacentral:rRNA from 1 species
GUAAGGAAUAUUGGACAAUGGGCGCAAGCCUGAUCCAGCCAUGCCGCGUGAAGGAUGAAGGCCCUAUGGGUUGUAAACUUCUUUUAGCAGGGAAAAAACCCCCCGAUGCGUUGGGGGCUGAUGGUACCUGCAGAAUAAGCAUCGGCUAACUCCGUGCCAGCAGCCGCGGUAAUACGGAGGAUGCAAGCGUUAUCCGGAUUUAUUGGGUUUAAAGGGUGCGUAGGCGGAUGAAUAAGUCAGUGGUGAAAGCCUGCAGCUUAACUGUAGAAUUGCCAUUGAUACUGUUCGUCUUGAGUACAGCUGAGGUGGGCGGAAUAUGACAUGUAGCGGUGAAAUGCUUAGAUAUGUCAUAGAACACCGAUUGCGAAGGCAGCUCACUAAACUGUCACUGACGCUGAGGCACGAAAGCGUGGGGAGCAAACAGGAUUAGAUACCCGAGUAGUCC